AAUCAACGCUGGCGGCGUGCCUCAGACAUGCAAGUCGAACGAGAAAGUUUCCUUCGGGGAAUGAGUAAAGUGGCGCACGGGUGAGUAACACGUAGGUAAUCUACCUUCGGGUGGGGAAUAACCCAGGGAACUUGGGCUAACACCGCAUAAUGCAGCGGCACCACAUGGUGACAGUUGUUAAAGCGGGGGAUUUUAGGACCUCGCGCCUGAAGAGGAGCCUGCGGCGGAUUAGCAGUUGGUAAGGUAACGGCUUACCAAGGCGACGAUCCGUAACCGGCCUGAGAGGGCGGUCGGUCACACUGACACUGACAUACGGGUCAGACUCC
rnacentral:rRNA from 1 species